GAAGGCUAACCCAAUUCCUCUCCCUAGUUGUGCUAAUGUCAACGACUAUUAAAUUUCUAAAUUUCAAAUCGCUCACAUACAUAAUAUUAUUAUAAAUGGACGGUAUUUGCAUAAUAUAGUACCUAAACUAAACGUGUCUGCAGCGUACAUUUGUGUUAGUGAACGAAUGUUAAGUAAAUUAUAGGUCCAAAUCGUGCGCAUAAACACGAUAAUACAAUAUGUUAUGAUGGCGUAUUGAUUAAACCAGCUCAGUCUACAUUAUAAACAACAACGUUUCGGCGGCUCAAAGGCUUAACGCUAAAACCGUAUAACAUAUAUUGCCGAUCGAGGAAACCGCUGAUAUUUUUUAAUUUACUAGUGUUUU